GAGUGCCUAAUGCUCAUGAUACAAAUCAUAAUUACUGCUUGUACUCCAUGCAUGUCUCCCAGAUCAGCUGGCUGAGUUUCAUUUUGGAUAUCAAUGUGAACCUUGAAGUGUCUCUUGAGACCUUGAAGUGUCUCUUGAGAGGUCUUUGAUAAAUCAUUAUGUAUUUGGCUCCCUGGAUUCAUGUGAUCUUUUAGCUGCCUCGUUUAUGACUCUACUACGAUGGCAUGUCUGAGUAGGGCCACAACCACUUAUUGCUUAAUGGUUAAUUUGGUAGGGUGAGUCAGUGUCAUGCAAAAUUUGAUCCCUGGAUCAAGUUGUCUUCACUAUGGAACAAUUUGGAGACCGGUAGUUGUGUUUCUCCAUCCAGACUUGGGACUGAAUUAGUAGCUUCUAAAAUAUGUUUCAUCUGAACUCUUCCUUGGUUAUUCUUCUUAAAUCAAGCAGUAAUAUUGAUGGCUU
rnacentral:lncRNA from 1 species